rnacentral:rRNA from 1 species
CAAGUCGUGGGGCAGCAUGUCCCGCAGCAAUGCGGGAUGAUGGCGACCGGCAAACGGGUGCGGAACACGUACACAACCUUCCUUUUAGUGGGGAAUAGCCCGGGGAAACCCGGAUUAAUACCCCGUAACAUAAUGAAGUGGCAUCACUUUAUUAUUAUAGCAGCAAUGCGCUUUAAGAUGGGUGUGCGACUGAUUAGGCAGUUGGCGGGGUAACGGCCCACCAAACCUACGAUCAGUAACUGGUGUGAGAGCACGACCAGUCACACGGGCACUGAGACACGGGCCCGACUCCUACGGGAGGCAGCAGUAAGGAAUAUUGGUCAAUGGACGCAAGUCUGAACCAGCCAUGCCGCGUGGAGGAUGAAGGUCCUCUGGAUUGUAAACUUCUUUUAUCUGGGAAGAAAUCCACGAAUUCUUUUGUGGUUGACGGUACCAGAUGAAUAAGCACCGGCUAACUCCGUGCCAGCAGCCGCGGUAAUACGGAGGGUGCAAGCGUUAUCCGGAUUCACUGGGUUUAAAGGGUGCGUAGGUGGGCAGGUAAGUCAGUGGUGAAAUCUCCGGGCUUAACUCGGAAACUGCCAUUGAUACUAUCUGUCUUGAAUACCGUGGAGGUUAGCGGAAUAUGUCAUGUAGCGGUGAAAUGCUUAGAUAUGACAUAGAACACCAAUUGCGAAGGCAGCUGGCUACACGAAUAUUGACACUGAUGCACGAAAGCGUGGGGAUCAAACAGGAUUAGAUACCCUGGUAGUCCACGCCCUAAACGAUGGAUACUCGACAUACGCGAUAUACUGUGUGUGUCUGAGCGAAAGCAUUAAGUAUCCCACCUGGGAAGUACGAUCGCAAGAUUGAAACUCAAAGGAAUUGGCGGGGGUCC